rnacentral:rRNA from 1 species
GAUGAACGCUGGCGGUAUGCUUAACACAUGCAAGUCGAACGGUACCUUCGGGUAUAGUGGCGGACGGGUGAGUAACGCGUGAGAAUCUAUCUUCAGGUCGGGGACAACAGUUGGAAAUGACUGCUAAUACCGGAUGUGCCGAAAGGUAAAAGAUUUAUUGCCUGAAAAAGAGCUCGCGUCAGAUUAGCUAGUAGGUGGUGUAAGAGACUACCUAGGCUUCGAUCUGUAGCUGGUCUGAGAGGACGAUCAGCCACACUGGAACUGAGACACGGUCCAGACUCCUACGGGAGGCAGCAGUGGGGAAUUUUCCGCAAUGGGCGAAAGCCUGACGGAGCAAUACCGCGUGAGGGACGAAGGCUCUUGGGUCGUAAACCUCUUUUCUCAAGGAAGAUUCAGACGGUACUUGAGGAAUAAGCAUCGGCUAACUCUGUG